CGAACGGUAACAGGUCUUCGGAUGCUGACGAGUGGCGAACGGGUGAGUAAUACAUCGGAACGUGCCCGAGAGUGGGGGAUAACGAAGCGAAAGCUUUGCUAAUACCGCAUACGAUCUCAGGAUGAAAGCAGGGGACCGCAAGGCCUUGCGCUCACGGAGCGGCCGAUGGCAGAUUAGGUAGUUGGUGGGAUAAAAGCUUACCAAGCCGACGAUCUGUAGCUGGUCUGAGAGGACGACCAGUCACACUGGGACUGAGACACGGCCCAGACUCCUACGGGAGGCAGCAGUGGGGAAUUUUGGACAAUGGGCGCAAGCCUGAUCCAGCCAUGCCGCGUGCAGGAUGAAGGCCUUCGGGUUGUAAACUGCUUUUGUACGGAACGAAAAGACUCUGGUUAAUACCUGGGGUCCAUGACGGUACCGUAAGAAUAAGCACCGGCUAACUACGUGCCAGCAGCCGCGGUAAUACGUAGGGUGCGAGCGUUAAUCGGAAUUACUGGGCGUAAAGCGUGCGCAGGCGGUUAUGUAAGACAGAUGUGAAAUCCCCGGGCUCAACCUGGGAACUGCACUUGUGACUGCAUAGCUAGAGUACGGCAGAGGGGGAUGGAAUUCCGCAUGUAGCAGUGAAAUGCGUAGAUAUGCGGAGGAACACCGAUGGCGAAGG
rnacentral:rRNA from 1 species